UACAGAGGGUGCAAGCGUUAAUCGGAAUUACUGGGCGUAAAGCGUGCGUAGACGGUUGCGUAAGCCAGCUGUGAAAUCCCCGGGCUCAACCUGGGCACUGCAGUUGGAACUGGCAAGCUAGAGUAGGGUAGAGGGGUGUGGAAUUCCAGGUGUAGCGGUGAAAUGCGUAGAUAUCUGGAGGAACAUCAGUGGCGAAGGCGACACCCUGGACUCAUACUGACACUGAGGUGCGAAAGCGUGGGGAGCAAACAGG
rnacentral:rRNA from 1 species